rnacentral:rRNA from 2 species
ACGGGUGAGUAACACGUGGGAACGUGCCUUUAGGUUCGGAAUAGCUCCUGGAAACGGGUGGUAAUGCCGAAUGUGCCCUUCGGGGGAAAGAUUUAUCGCCUUUAGAGCGGCCCGCGUCUGAUUAGCUUGUUGGUGAGGUAAUGGCUCACCAAGGCGACGAUCAGUAGCUGGUCUGAGAGGAUGACCAGCCACAUUGGGACUGAGACACGGCCCAAACUCCUACGGGAGGCAGCAGUGGGGAAUCUUGCGCAAUGGGCGAAAGCCUGACGCAGCCAUGCCGCGUGGAUGAUGAAGGUCUUAGGAUUGUAAAAUCCUUUCACCGGUGAAGAUAAUGACUGUAGCCGGAGAAGAAGCCCCGGCUAACUUCGUGCCAGCAGCCGCGGUAAUACGAAGGGGGCUAGCGUUGCUCGGAAUUACUGGGCGUAAAGGGAGCGUAGGCGGACAUUUAAGUCAGGGGUGAAAUCCCAGAGCUCAACUCUGGAACUGCCUUUGAUACUGGGUGUCUUGAGUGUGAGAGAGGUAUGUGGAACUCCGAGUGUAGAGGUGAAAUUCGUAGA